rnacentral:rRNA from 1 species
UACGUAGGGGGCGAGCGUUGUCCGGAAUCAUUGGGCGUAAAGAGCGUGUAGGCGGCUUGGCAAGUCUGACGUGAAAGCCCGCGGCUCAACCGCGGAUUGUCGUUGGAAACUGCCUCGCUAGAGUCCGGAAGAGGAGAGCGGAAUUCCUGGUGUAGCGGUGGAAUGCGCAGAUAUCAGGAAGAACACCGGUGGCGAAGGCGGGUCUCUGGGCCGAUACUGACGCUGAGGAGCGAAAGCGUGGGGAGCGAACAGG